rnacentral:tRNA from 1 species
GUUAUAAUAGUUUAAAUAAAACACUGGUCUUGUAAACCAAAAUUAGAUACUUAUCUUUAUAACU